UGAUGUUGGACAAAGAUUGUGGAUGAGGUC
rnacentral:piRNA from 1 species